UUGUUCAAUACACACUGAUGUCAUUUGUAUCCUCCUCCAGUCCUCGCAGAGACGCCGCCUGCUGUGGCUCAGCACGGCUCCUUGCCUGAAGGCUGGAAGCGCUCCAAGAAGUGGUGGGGAGGGGGUCGCUUGUGACAUAGAAGAGCUGAAGUUUGGAGUAUCGUGGGGCAGAAUGAAUGACCCUCAGCCGCCCCAGCGCCUGAGGGACUGUUGGCUUACUGAUGGCUCUGUUCAUGACGUCCAGACGCAGAUGCUGCAAAAGUUUGUAGGGAGAAGACACAGCUUCUAGGGCGGCCCCCAGCAAAUCCCAAGGGGGGACAGAGGAAAUCGCUUCAUGCACUGCAAAAAAUGUCGAGGUGGGAUUCCCGCCAUCCAGUUGCCCCUGAAUGACCAUGUUUAAACAAAGACAUCAGCAGACUCUCCACUUAUUGCCUGGCAACUACUCAG